rnacentral:rRNA from 1 species
UUUUGGUCAAUGGGGGAAACCCUGAUCCAGCCAUCCCGCGUGCAUGAUGAAGGCCUUCGGGUUGUAAAGUACUUUCUGCAGGGAAGAAGAGGUAGCUCAUAAUACGAGAUACUGCUGACGGUAUCUGCAGGAUAAGCACCGACCAGCUACGUGCCCGCAGCCGCGGUAAUACGUAGGGUGCAAGCGUUAAUCGGAUUUACUGGGCGUAAAGCGUGUGUAGGCGGUUCGGAAAGAAAGAUGUGAAAUCCCAGGGCUCAACCUUGGCACUGCAUUUUUAACUGCCGAGCUAGAGUAAGUCAGAGGGGGGUAGAAUUCAACGUGUAGCAGUGAAAUGCGUAGAUAUGUGGAGGAAUACCGAUGGCGAAGGCAGCCCCCUGGGAUAAUACUGACGCUCAGACACGAAAGCGUGGGGAGCAAACA